rnacentral:misc_RNA from 1 species
GCUUCUUGACGCUCUCGUUUUACUUUCUGAUACACUUGCUGUACCAUAUUAGCUGCUUGUGCAGCAGAUGCAUGCCCAGCGGUUUGGGAAAAUGGGCUCCACUGGAAGUUAUUGUGAUCAGGUGACGUAGUGUUAUUGACCACAGACGACACAAAAUUUGGAGCGCUUGAACUGUUUCUUCCUGUAACUGGUGCACCCUUUCUCAUUCCCUGGUGGUAUGUGUUUUCUUGCUG